rfam:Virgibacillus massiliensis genome assembly, contig: 000001
UCCUUAUCUAGAGUCGGGGGAGGAAUCUGGUCCAGUGAUCCCGCAGCAACCGUUACAUAUAACAAGGUGCUAAUUCCAGCAAGCAUUUGCUUGAAAGAUGAGAG